UCGAACGGCAGCACAGGAUCGCUUGCUCUCUGGGUGGCGAGUGGCGGACGGGUGAGGAAUACAUCGGAAUCUACUCUGUCGUGGGGGAUAACGUAGGGAAACUUACGCUAAUACCGCAUACGACCUACGGGUGAAAGCAGGGGACCUUCGGGCCUUGCGCGAUUGAAUGAGCCGAUGUCGGAUUAGCUAGUUGGCGGGGUAAAGGCCCACCAAGGCGACGAUCCGUAGCUGGUCUGAGAGGAUGAUCAGCCACACUGGAACUGAGACACGGUCCAGACUCCUACGGGAGGCAGCAGUGGGGAAUAUUGGACAAUGGGCGCAAGCCUGAUCCAGCCAUACCGCGUGGGUGAAGAAGGCCUUCGGGUUGUAAAGCCCUUUUGUUGGGAAAGAAAUCCAGCUGGCUAAUACCCGGUUGGGAUGACGGUACCCA
rnacentral:rRNA from 1 species